rnacentral:rRNA from 1 species
UACGUAGGGUGCAAGCGUUGUCCGGAAUUAUUGGGCGUAAAGAGCUCGUAGGCGGUUCGUCGCGUCGGCUGUGAAAACCCGGAGCUCAACUCCGGGCCUGCAGUCGAUACGGGCGGACUUGAGUGUUGCAGGGGAGACUGGAAUUCCUGGUGUAGCGGUGAAAUGCGCAGAUAUCAGGAGGAACACCGGUGGCGAAGGCGGGUCUCUGGGCAACUACUGACGCUGAGGAGCGAAAGCGUGGGGAGCGAAUAGG